CAGGACGGAGUUUUGUUGUGAGGCCGCUACAGAGAUCGGCCAUGAUGGAGACAAUCAGCAGGUCGAACAGGUCCAGCCUCUCCUGCACAGGACCACAGACGAGUCCCCGCUCGACCUGGACGCCGUCCUGAGACUGUUCCGCCAGGAGAACGUGAAUCCAGAUGUAGAAACCCACGUCCAGGCGAGGAGGAGAGAGCUGCUCCACGGAGCCGAGAAGGUGGUGAGGAGGCCGGGUUUCUGUUUCCGGGCGACACCCGUCGUCUCCUUCGGUGGAGAGGAGACCCAGGGACACGAGGGGCCUCUCCGAGAGUUCUUCAGGUUGACUCUUCUGGAGCUGCAGCAAAGUUCUGUGUUCGAGGGUCGUCCAGGACGCCUGUUUUUCACCUAUGACCUCACAGCUCUUGAAGACAGGAAGUAUUUCCAGGCCGGCGUUCUGAUUGGCUGGUCCCUGACUCAGGGCGGACCAGGCCUGCGUUGUCUCCACCCUGCACUUUACCAGGUA